GAUGAAGAACGUAGCGAAAUGCGAUAAGUAAUGUGAAUUGCAGAAUUCAGUGAAUCAUCGAAUCUUUGAACGCACAUUGCGCCCGUCAGUAUUCUGGCGGGCAUGCCUGUUCGAGCGUCAUUACGCCCCUCAAGUCCCCUGUGGACUUGGUGUUGGGGAUCGGCGAGGCUGGUUUUCCAGCACAGCCGUCCCUUAAAUUAAUUGGCGGUCUCGCCGUGGCCCUCCUCUGCGCAGUAGUAAAACACUCGCAACAGGAGCCCGGCGAGGUCCACUGCCGUAAAACCCCCCGACUUUUUAUAGUUGAACUCGAAUCAGGUAGGACUACCCGCUGAACUUAAGCAUAUCAAUAAGCGGAGGA
rnacentral:misc_RNA from 1 species